ACGGAGGGUGCAAGCGUUGUUCGGAAUUAUUGGGCGUAAAGGGCGCGUAGGCGGUUAUGUAAGUCAGAUGUGAAAUACUUCGGCUCAACUGAAGAACUGCAUUUGAUACUAUAUAGCUAGAGUACAGAAGAGGGAAAUGGAAUUCCCGGUGUAGAGGUGAAAUUCGUAGAUAUCGGGAGGAACACCAGUGGCGAAGGCGAUUUCCUGGUCUGAUACUGACGCUGAGGCGCGAAAGCGUGGGGAGCAAACAG
rnacentral:rRNA from 1 species